AGAGUUUGAUCCUGGCUCAGAUUGAACGCUGGCGGUAUGCUUAACACAUGCAAGUCGAACGGUAACAGGCCUUCGGGCGCUGACGAGUGGCGGACGGGUGAGUAACGCGUAGGAAUCUGCCUCAUAGUGGGGGACAACGUGGGGAAACUCACGCUAAUACCGCAUACGCCCUACGGGGGAAAGCGGGGGAUCUUCGGACCUCGCGCUAUGAGAUGAGCCUGCGUUAGAUUAGCUAGUUGGUAGGGUAAAGGCCUACCAAGGCGACGAUCUAUAGCUGGUCUGAGAGGACGAUCAGCCACACUGGGACUGAGACACGGCCCAGACUCCUACGGGAGGCAGCAGUGGGGAAUAUUGGACAAUGGGCGCAAGCCUGAUCCAGCAAUACCGCGUGUGUGAAGAAGGCCUUAGGGUUGUAAAGCACUUUCAAUUGGGAGGAAAACCUGCCGGUCAAUACCCGGCAGCUUGACAUUACCUUUAGAAGAAGCACCGGCUAACUCCGUG
rnacentral:rRNA from 1 species